UUUUCCCAAGAAAAAAAAAUUGUAUUUUAAACCUCAGGCGCCAUGGCUCAGACCAUGCUGAUCACUCCUAGCGUUUCCGGGCAUUCAGUGCUGGAUUUGAAGCGACAGCCUCUGCUUCAGAGACUCAGGCCCAAGCCAUUCUCCCACCUUCUCCUCCCUCCACUUCCCACCUCUUCCUCCACUUCAUCUCCUGCAUUUACAACUCUUGCUCUCUUCAAAUCAAAGACCAAAGCCGCUCCUUCAA
rnacentral:lncRNA from 1 species